AUUGAACGCUGGCGGCAGGCUUAACACAUGCAAGUCGAGCGGGGGAAGGUAGCUUGCUACCGGACCCAGCGGCGGACGGGUGAGUAAUGCUUAGGAAUCUGCCUAUUAGUGGGGACAACAUCUCGAAAGGGAUGCUAAUACCGCAUACGUCCUACGGGAGAAAGCAGGGGAUCUUCGGACCUUGCGCUAAUAGAUGAGCCUAAGUCGGAUUAGCUAGUUGGUGGGGUAAAGGCCUACCAAGGCGACGAUCUGUAGCGGGUCUGAGAGGAUGAUCCGCCACACUGGGACAGAGACACGGCCCAGACUCCUACGGGAGGCAGCAGUGGGGAAUAUUGGACAAUGGGGGGAACCCUGAUCCAGCCAUGCCGCGUGUGUGAAGAAGGCCUUAUGGUUGUAAAGCACUUUAAGCGAGGAGGAGGCUACUUUAGUUAAUACCUAGAGAUAGUGGACGUUACUCGCAGAAUAAGCACCGGCUAACUCUGUGCCAGCCGCCGCAGUAA
rnacentral:rRNA from 1 species